rnacentral:misc_RNA from 1 species
GAUGAAGAACGCAGCGAAAUGCGAUACGUAAUGUGAAUUGCAGAAUUCAGUGAAUCAUCGAGUCUUUGAACGCACAUUGCGCCCCCUGGUAUUCCGGGGGGCAUGCCUGUCCGAGCGUCAUUGCUGCCCUCAAGCACGGCUUGUGUGUUGGGCCUCCGUCCUCCUCCCGGGGGACGGGCCCGAAAGGCAGCGGCGGCACCGCGUCCGGUCCUCGAGCGUAUGGGGCUUCGUCACCCGCUCUUGUAGGCCCGGUCGGCGCUUGCCGACACAUCAAUCUUUUUUCCAGGUUGACCUCGGAUCAGGUAGGGAUACCCGCUGAACUUAAGCAUAUCAAUAAGCGGGGA